UACGGAGGGGCUAGCGUUGUUCGGAAUUACUGGGCGUAAAGCGCACGUAGGCGGCUUUGUAAGUUAGAGGUGAAAGCCUGGAGCUCAACUUCAGAAUAGCCUUUAAGACUGCAUCGCUUGAAUCCAGGAGAGGUGAGUGGAAUUCCGAGUGUAGAGGUGAAAAUUCGUAGAUAUUCGGAAGAACACCAGUGGCGAAGGCGGCUCACUGGACUGGUAUUGACGCUGAGGUGACGAAAGCGUGGGGAGCAACAGGG
rnacentral:rRNA from 1 species